rnacentral:rRNA from 1 species
CGAAGGGGGCUAGCGUUGUUCGGAAUUACUGGGCGUAAAGCGCGCGCAGGCGGUUUUUCAAGUCAGUGGUGAAAGCCCGGAGCUCAACUCCGGAACUGCCAUUGAAACUGUAAAACUUGAGGAUGAGAGAGGUGAGUGGAAUUCCCAGUGUAGAGGUGAAAUUCGUAGAUAUUGGGAAGAACACCGGUGGCGAAGGCGGCUCACUGGCUCAUAUCUGACGCUCAGGCGCGACAGCGUGGGGAUCAAAACAGGAUUAGAUACCCUGGUAGUCCACGCCGUAAACGAUGAAUGCUAGCCGUUGGGCAGCUUGCUGUUCAGUGGCGCAGCUAACGCAUUAAGCAUUCCGCCUGGGGAGUACGGCCGCAAGGUUG